AAGAAUUUUGAACAUCAUUCCUACAGAAACCAGGACUUUUGAAGAAAUGGCUGACUCCAAAUAUGGCACAGGAAACAGAAAAAAAUGUACCUGGGAUAUCUUGUCACUUCUGAAAGCAAGGGCAACAUCAAUGAAAAAAUCAAAGUAUACCUGGUAAAGGGUCCAAAACAUCACUAUGAGUAGGAAGAUAAAGCAACCAAAGUCACAAAAAGACAGCAAGUAACACAUUC